rnacentral:sRNA from 2 species
CGCCAAGAGGAUCAAUCCUUGAGGUAGCCAGCCACAAAAACGACACCAUCCUCCGGACUGCUGGAAAGCUCCUCUUCGUUAACAACCUCAUCAGCAUCUUCUGCACAUCUUCUUUACUUUGCCUAUUGUGCGAAUAUUUCUACUUGCCAUUUAAGUAAUGGCCGAUGACGAGAUUCAGAGGCUGUCCCAGAUUUUAGAGGAUGGGAAGCGACGUCGACGGGACGCGCAGCAGGCUCAACAGCAGUCGGAGCAAGCUCCAUGGGCAUUGGAAGAACAGAUACGUCGUCCCUUAAUUACUUUUUGAAUAUCUUGAUGCCUGCCAAACUUAUCCCUCAGCCUGAGUGUGUGGUUGCUAGGGAGGAAAGUUUGCUACAUCAGAUGUGUACUCAAUUCCAGUCUCUGAAUUGAGUCUAUGGUAGAUAUUGAGCGAUCAAACCCUCAAUUCAAGUGAAGGUCUACUUGCAAUGCGUCUUUGAAAACCCCAUCUGCACCAUCACAAAAUGUACCCUGCAGGAUUAUUUUUGAAGUUUCCACUAGGAUUGUUGAUGCGACUAUGUUCGUGAGAAUUUUUUUGGUCUACCUUGGGCAAAGAUUCAUCUCUUCGUGGUACAAUAGCGUUGAUAGUAUGGUCAGCACUCACCUCGCUAAAGAUAUUUAAAUUUGAUAACUCGAGUUGGGUUUAGUUAAUACUUUGAGAAUCUGUUUAGUAAUGAGAAUGUAAGUGGUGAUUCUUGAAUCUAGGUAUGAGCUUAUUUUAAAUUAGUUAGAGCUGAAUCUAACGCAGUUGAAAGAUAAUAGUUGAUUUGAAACCAUACCGCAUUGUUCUUUUCGUCUACUGCAGCAUCAAAGUAGCCAGUCAGCAUAUAUCACUGAUAUUGUAGACGGACCAAUUCACAGCAAAGUAGUAUAGGAUCUUUAAUAUGGAUGCGCGAAUAUAUUCGUUAUAUGAUUUUUAGUUAAUCAUACUGCUGGGGCAGCUGUCUUACGAGAAGGCGAAGACAGAAUAAAGAAUAAAUAGUAGAAGAUAGAAUUAAAUACUAGUAUGAAUAGUUAAGUACAGUACAAGCACUUGUCAUAGGAACAUAGUAAAAUAGUAGCUAAUCGCUAAAGAAAGAAAUAGAAAAAAAAAGAAAAAAAAGAAAUAAGAUGAAUAUAUACUUAAAAUAUAUACAGGGCUAUGAUUGUGGUCAAAGAAAUAGU